rnacentral:misc_RNA from 1 species
ACGAUCGGCUUUCACGUUUGCAAGCGUUUGGACAAGGUAGCUGGACCGUGACCAAACCAAGAGCAUAAUAAUUAAUUAUCCGGUACGAUCGUUGGCAGCAGAUUCAGCCACCGUUUUGCUUCCAUUCGACCAGCUGCUGAGAUGGUACCUCGGCCGAUUGCAACGAAGUAAACAACCGGUUGUUGUUCCUGCCGCGAAAGAAAUGAAAUCUGACGACCGAUCUCAAUCCUCUUACGGAUCGACCAAUUAUCAUCGAUAACACAAUCACGGUGAUCACGUGGGAACGGAAAUUUGCUGAAAGAAAACCAACGCACAGAUUCAACGAUAACGACGAUUCUUUCCCACCACGUGCUACGAUCCAACGUCAUUGUGUUACUUUCCCGGCGGACUACACCGGGUAAAGCUACUUGUACAGGCGACGAGCAACGUUUUCGCGAGGCGAAAAGAAAAUUCGUUAUUACAUCGUCGUGCGUUUUCACUGCAAGGAAUAGUCCGCCCACGCAACAAAGAGGACAGUGUCGAAGUCUGCGUCGAGCUCGUGUGGGUGUACGCGCGUAAUCAUGGAGAAUGUCAGAGCAGGGCGUGGUGAGGCCGGUGGUUAAACUAUCCUCGACAAGGCCGCGUGUGUUCCGGCUCCAAACGGUUGGCGACAAGUCCAGCCAUUCUACCGCUGGAAAUCGAAGAAGCGACUUACUAUGCGGCCGUUAACAAUCGAACGCUAUGAUGUUCAAUGGAUUAUUGUCUUGUAUAUUUGUUUCCAAUAGCGUUAUUGUUUUCUCUAAUAUAUCACAACACUCUUA